rnacentral:rRNA from 1 species
UACGGAGGGUGCAAGCGUUACCCGGAAUCACUGGGCGUAAAGGGCGUGUAGGCGGGAUGUUAAGUCUGACUUUAAAGACUGUGGCUCAACCACAGAAGUGGGCUGGAUACUGGCAUUCUAGACAACUGGAGAGGCGAUUGGAAUUACUGGUGUAGCGGUGGAAUGCGUAGAUACCAGUAGGAACGUCAAUGGCGAAGGCAGGUCGCUGGACAGUUUGUGACGCUGAGGCGCGAAAGUGUGGGGAGCAAACCGG